GACGUAGGGCGCGAGCGUUGUCCGGAUUUAUUGGGCGUAAAGAGCUCGUAGGCGGCUUGUCGCGUCGUCCGUGAAAACCCACAGCUCAACUGUGGGCUUGCGGUCGAUACGGGCAGGCUAGAGUUCGGUAGGGGAGACUGGAAUUCCUGGUGUAGCGGUGAAAUGCGCAGAUAUCAGGAGGAACACCGGUGGCGAAGGCGGGUCUCUGGGCCGUAACUGACGCUGAGGAGCGAAAGCAUGGGGAGCGAACAGG
rnacentral:rRNA from 1 species